GCGGGAUUUGGUGGGUCAAAGUGGAGGAACUUUCACUUUCACAGUGCAGUUAACUCUCUUGGCUAAAGUUCUUUUCCAGAAGGUUUAAAAUAUACCUUCCUUUGUGGAGAUGCCAAGAUGAGGGGCUGCAGGCCACGCUUAUGCUCCAAAAAGCAUAAGAGAACCCUGACUAAUGCAACCACGUCAGUAGCUAAGAAGACGGAAGAGGAACAAAGGCAGCUUGGAAGAUGUUGUUACCAGGAAGAAGGGGAGAAGAUGUAGAAUAAUCAUGAAUGUGCACUACAGAUGGGGGUUAUUAAAAUCAAUUUGCUGCUAUUUAGUAAGAGAAAUUUUGUUGACAAAAAUUUUAAAACAUUAGGGGAUAAGAAAUAAAAAGUCUUGGUGGUAAAAGGGUAUUGGGGGUUUUCUUCCUCCCAGCUUUUUAAAAUAAGUAGACAUAUGUUUAAAUGUUAUUCAG